CGCCUCUUGGGCAGCGGUGUGUGAAUGGCACUCCAGGCGGCACCCACAGCAGCGGGAGACAUGGUUCCUCGGGAAGCUGGAUGUGAUUGCAGAGACAGAUCAGUUCAGCCCUCACCCAACAAAGACUGGGAGUCCGCGGCAGAAUGCAUUGUGUAAAGGGAGAACAACUUCAAAACCAACUGGGCAGGAUGAUGGAGCUGGGGAGCAGUCCUACAGAAGGGGGCCCAGAAAUUCCCCCAGGGAACAAAGAACAAACACAAUACAAAGAAAAUAACCACCAAAGCUCCCAAAUGGGUCAGGAGCCUCUGGAGAACAGAUUGUCCCAUCCUCAAACUGGCUUUUUUUUUCCUUUUUUUGUCUUUUUUUUUUCCAUUUUCUUCUUUUGUUGUUGACGUUUAGCACCUGUCCAAUAAAACUGUACCAUUUCCAACCAGA